GGCGGCAUGCCUUANACAUGCAAGUCGAACGGCAGCAUGGAAGAGCUUGCUCUUCUGGAUGGCGAGUGGCGAACGGGUGAGUAAAGCAUCGGAACGUACCGUGUAGUGGGGGAUAACGUAGCGAAAGUUACGCUAAUACCGCAUACGCACUGAGGUGGAAAGCAGGGGAUCGCAAGACCUUGCGCUAUACGAGCGGCCGAUGUCAGAUUAGCUAGUUGGUAGGGUAAAGGCCUACCAAGGCGACGAUCUGUAGCGGGUCUGAGAGGAUGAUCCGCCACACUGGGACUGAGACACGGCCCAGACUCCUACGGGAGGCAGCAGUGGGGAAUUUUGGACAAUGGGCGAAAGCCUGAUCCAGCCAUGCCGCGUGAGUGAAGAAGGCCUUCGGGUUGUAAAGCUCUUUCGGCUGGGAAGAAAUCGCACAGGCUAAUACUCUGUGUGGAUGACGGUACCAGCACAAGAAGCACCGGCUAACUACGUG
rnacentral:rRNA from 1 species